CCCUUAGAUGUUCUGGGCCGCACGCGCGCUACACUGAUGCACUCAACGAGUCUCCACCUUGACCGAAAGGUCCGGGAAACCUUCGAACUUGCAUCGUGAUGGGGAUAGAUUAUUGCAACUAUUAAUCUUCAACGAGGAAUACCUAGUAAGCGCAUGUCAUCAGCGUGCGUUGAUUACGUCCCUGCCCUUUGUACACACCGCCCGUCGCUCCUACCGAUUGGAUGAUCCGGUGAGCUAUUCGGACCUUCGCUUCGUCGAUUUUCGGCUUUGUGAGGGAAAGUCUCGCGAACCUUAUCAUCUAGAGGAAGGAGAANUCGUANCA
rnacentral:rRNA from 1 species